rnacentral:rRNA from 1 species
AACGAACGCUGGCGGCAUGCCUAACACAUGCAAGUCGAACGAGACCUUCGGGUCUAGUGGCGCACGGGUGAGUAACGCGUGGAUAACCUGCCCUGGUAUCUGGAAUAACAUCGCGAAAGUGGUGCUAAUACCGGAUAAGCUUACGGAGUCUUCGGCCUCUGUGAGAAAAGGUGGCCUCUAUUUAUAAGCUAUCGUAUCAGGAUGGGCAUGCGUAAACAUUAGCUAGUUGGUGAGGUAACGGCUCACCAAGGCGACGAUGUUUAGGGGGUCUGAGAGGAUGAUCCCCCACACUGGUACUGAGACACGGACCAGACUCCUACGGGAGGCAGCAGUAAGGAAUAUUGGACAAUGGGGGCAACCCUGAUCCAGCCAUGCCGCGUGAAGGAUGAAGGCGCUCUGCGUCGUAAACUUCUUUUAUCCGGGAAAAAUUGUUGGGUUUCUACCUGACUUGAUUGUACCGGAGGAAUAAGGACCGGCUAACUUCGUGCCAGCAGCCG